AUUGAACGCUGGCGGCAUGCCUUACACAUGCAAGUCGAACGGCAGCGCGGACUUCGGUCUGGCGGCGAGUGGCGAACGGGUGAGUAAUACAUCGGAACGUACCCUGUUGUGGGGGAUAACUAGUCGAAAGAUUAGCUAAUACCGCAUACGACCUGAGGGUGAAAGUGGGGGACCGCAAGGCCUCACGCAGCAGGAGCGGCCGAUGUCUGAUUAGCUAGUUGGUGGGGUAAAGGCCCACCAAGGCGACGAUCAGUAGCUGGUCUGAGAGGACGAUCAGCCACACUGGGACUGAGACACGGCCCAGACUCCUACGGGAGGCAGCAGUGGGGAAUUUUGGACAAUGGGGGCAACCCUGAUCCAGCAAUGCCGCGUGUGUGAAGAAGGCCUUCGGGUUGUAAAGCACUUUUGUCCGGAAAGAAAUCGCGCUGGUUAAUACCUGGCGUGGAUGACGGUACCGGAAGAAUAAGCACCGGCUAACUACGUGCCAGCCGCCGCGGUAA
rnacentral:rRNA from 1 species